CACCAGACAAGUUGGGAACCAGUGCUGUAGAAACUCCACACAGUUAAGCAGUGUGUCUGCUUACUGUCUGUUAUAUAACUUUAGACCCAAGGACAAUGCUUGACAGAGUCAGUAUUCAAAAAUCUGUCCAAGGUGCCUUUGUUUGGUGCUCUCUGACGAGGAGUGUUUGAGCAAUAUAUGCACAAGGUUGCCCUUUGGAGAUCUCAUCCAGGUUCAUCGUGAAGAUUUGAGUAUAGAUUUAGAGCUAUGGGAGAUAGAGAAUAAUCAUCAGAAGGAAAGCUCCACAUAAAACAUAGACGGGGCAGUGAGAGAUGGCAAGAGUGAAGAUCUUGAUUUACACACAGGACUUCUGCCAAUGUGUGUUAGAAGAAAUUGCUGCGGUAAACCUUACUUUCUACAUCUG
rnacentral:lncRNA from 1 species